rnacentral:rRNA from 1 species
AGAGUUUGAUCCUGGCUCAGGACGAACGCUGGCGGCGUGCCUAAUACAUGCAAGUCGAACGCUUUUUCUUUCACCGGAGCUUGCUCCACCGGAAGAAAAAGAGUGGCGAACGGGUGAGUAACACGUGGGUAACCUGCCCAUCAGAAGGGGAUAACACUUGGAAACAGGUGCUAAUACCGUAUAACACUAUUUUCCGCAUGGAAGAAAGUAGAAAGGCGCUUUUGCGUCACUGAUGGAUGGACCCGCGGUGCAUUAGCUAGUUGGUGAGGUAACGGCUCACCAAGGCAACGAUGCAUAGCCGACCUGAGAGGGUGAUCGGCCACACUGGGACUGAGACACGGCCCAGACUCCUACGGGAGGCAGCAGUAGGGAAUCUUCGGCAAUGGACGAAAGUCUGACCGAGCAACGCCGCGUGAGUGAAGAAGGUUUUCGGAUCGUAAAACUCUGUUGUUAGAGAAGAACAAGGAUGAGAGUAAAAUGUUCAUCCCUUGACGGUAUCUACCCAGAAGGCCACGGCUAACUACGUGCCAGCAGCCGCGGUAAUAC